UCCCCGUUCACCGGGGCAGUCCCCUCAGAGUGCCCGGCAUGACCCGGUAGCAACAAAGGGCGAGGGUUGCGCUCGUUGCGGGACUUAACCCAACAUCUCACGACACGAGCUGACGACAGCCAUGCAGCACCUGUGCACGGACUCCGAAGAGGGGCCGAUGUUUCCACCGGCUUUCCCGUGCAUGUCAAGCCCAGGUAAGGUUCUUCGCGUUGCUUCGAAUUGAACCACAUGCUCCACCGCUUGUGCGGGCCCCCGUCAAUUCCUUUGAGUUUCACCGUUGCCGGCGUACUCCCCAGGUGGAUUACUUAUCGCUUUCGCUUGGCCACUCAGGGUUGCCCCCAAACAGCGAGUAAUCAUCGUUUACAGUGCGGACUAC
rnacentral:misc_RNA from 1 species